CAACUUUCAACAACGGAUCUCUUGGCUCUUGCAUCGAUGAAGAACGCAGCGAAAUGCGAUAAGUAAUGGGAAUUGCAGAAUCCAGGGAACCAUCGAAUCUUUGAACGCACCUUGCGCCCUUUGGUAUUCCGAGGCUUAUGCCUGUUUGAGAGUC
rnacentral:rRNA from 1 species